rnacentral:rRNA from 1 species
GGUUAAUUCGAAGCAACGCGAAGAACCUUACCAGGUCUUGACAUCCCUGACAACCCGAGAGAUCGGGCGUUCCCCUUCGGGGGACAGGGUGACAGGUGGUGCAUGGUUGUCGUCAGCUCGUGUCGUGAGAUGUUGGGUUAAGUCCCGCAACGAGCGCAACCCUCGACCUUAGUUGCCAGCAUUCAGUUGGGCACUCUAAGGUGACUGCCGGCUAAAAGUCGGGGAAGUGGGGAUGACGUCAAAUCAUCAUGCCCCUUAUGACCUGGGCUACACACGUGCUACAAUGGGCGGUACAAAGGGUCGCGAACCCGCGAGGGGGAGCCAAUCCCAAAAAGCCGCUCUCAGUUCGGAUUGCAGGCUGCAACUCGCCUGCAUGAAGCCGGAAUCGCUAGUAAUCGUGGAUCAGCAUGUCACGGUGAAUACGUUCCCGGGCCUU